ACUCUUUCCUAUGUGUCAUCCUUCUGGAUAGUUGAGCUUUCUCUGCAAACCCCCUCUUUCCCUAAUUAGGUACCUAAAGCUACUCCUGAAGUGCCCAGUAGGAGAGAUAGUCCCAGGCUACCGUCAUUCUUCUAACUUGUGGGCAAGCAUGGCCGCUAGCUCCAUGGGCUUGAAACACUGUGUGAUCCCUCCCCUCUACGUGUGCUCUGAACCAGGAUGCCACCUGCUGUGUUUUGACACAAUGAGAAAGCGCUCACCAGAAGCUAAGUCACACCUAACCUUCUGCUUAUAAAAUCAUAAGCCAAAUAAACCUUUUUAAAAGAGAAUUGCCCAACUUCAGGUAUCUUGCUAUAGCAACAGAAAACAGACUAAUACAAGGCUCAUUGACAGCCCUCCAUGCAAAGCUACAGGACAGUGACUCUGCUCACAUUUACGAGUUUUAAUACCUUUUAAACCUGCCUCAUAGGACCUUUUAUAAUGUUAGGAGACCCACACAAUACACUAUGCCAAUGACUUGGUGAUCCUGUAAAAGGAAAAAGAUGUUACUGGCUCCAACAGGUCUGAGAAACAAUAGUGUGAAGUUGCUCUGUACUAUUUGGUGUUUUUAAGCGAUUACACAACCUCACGCUAUACACUACUAUACACUACCUAAAAGACUCAUGGUCAUUGUAAGAAGAAGACUUAGCAAGACUGUUAUUUGUUGAGACACUUUUGUAGCUCAGGUUGGCCCAGGCUAGACUCAAAGUCACAACAACCCUCCUUCCUCCACCUCCCACAAGCUGGCAUUUCUGGCAUGAGUCACCUCAAUUCCGGGCACCAUCAAGUUCUAAGACUAGACUUCUGCUAGGCGUCUUCUGAUUAUUGCUUUUAAAUCUCAGCACUUCCCUGCAACACUGCCAAUGUCAUUAUUUUACAGGUGAAGGAACUGAGGCAAUGGUCAAUGAAGAGGAAAGACAAGGUUGAACUGCCGAGCUUCACUUGUGGUGACUUCAUAGGAACUCGCCAAGAACUUCUUGUGAGAGUCCUGCAGCUUCUUGUUGCUUCUGCAGACACGGGCCAAUUGGCAAGCCUCACAGUUUCUUCUGGGUUGAACUGACCUUGCUGAUUUGUGUGUGGUGUCUGCUGAGUGGACUGGACUAUAACUGCCGAUUAGUGUUCCGUGUUUGCUGCUAGGCUGGACUGGUAACCACAAAGAUUGCAGUCGCCCCAAUGAACUAUUUCUAAACAGGUCCACUUCGACCGAAUCCUAAUAAACCAUUACUUUCCUACCUAUUCACCUAUAUCUGAUAGAUGAUGGAUGAGAAGAGAGGUUGAACCCUUAUUAAAGU
rnacentral:sRNA from 1 species